rnacentral:rRNA from 1 species
CCUACGGGAGGCAGCAGUGAGGAAUAUUGGUCAAUGGACGCAAGUCUGAACCAGCCAUGCCGCGUGCAGGAAGACGGCUCUAUGAGUUGUACACUUCUUUUGUACGAGGGUAAAGCCCGAUACGUGUAUCUGGUUGAAAGUAUCUUACGAAUAAGGAUCGGCUAACUCCGUGCCAGCAGCCGCGGGAAUACGGAGGAUUCAAGCGUUAUCCGGAUUUAUUGGGUUUAAAGGGUGCGUAGGCGGUUCGAUAAGUUAGAGGUGAAAUCCCGGGGCUCAACUCCGGCACUGCCUCUGAUACUGGCGGGCUAGAGUUUAGUUGAGGUAGGCGGAAUGUAUGGUGUAGCGGUGAAAUGCAUAGAGAUCAUGCAGAACACCGAUUGCGAAGGCAGCUUACCAAACGCCGACUGACGUUGAGGCACGAAAGCGUGGGGAUCGAACAGGAUUAGAUACCCUGGUAGUC